CAUGCCCGACAUUGUUUUUUCCAUCGAUUUCCCUUCAAUUCGACGUCACGAUUUUCGUCGACGCAAACAGUUUGACAGUUCUCUUCAGUUUGUCUUGUUUGGACUUGAAUGCAACCGAAUCGAACCAGUUAUUGUUGAUGUUGGGCUUCGGAAGGAUUUUGACCGGUAAGUUGUGCUUCUUUUUCUGUCGGAAAGUUCCGGCCGGAGUGGGCAAGUGGCCAAAUUAUAGUUUCUUAUGUUCCAGAUAUUCAGAAUUCUGUCUUCGUGGCGGUGGAGGAGGAGGACGAGACGCAUGAAUCCGGCGGGCCAGAUCUUCGUGGCGGAAGACAGGACCGGGAGGAACCGAGCUUAUGGAGGAUAUGGUUCAUUCCAAAGGAGGAGGAGGAUGAAUCACCGAAUGUCAAAAGUUCUACCCAAGGUAAGAGAAAAAGGGGUACAGAAUAAUCAUCUCGUGGCGGUGUUUCUGAUCCACCGGAUUUUUUUAAUCAAUAGAACUGUUGCUUCAAGUCAUUGAAAUGAUGGAAGAGGCGCAUUUCAAAGUAUCGGGAGUGAGCUUGGAAGACCGGAAGUAUGAGGGCUAAUAUUGGGUGUUAUGAUUAUUGGACUUCAGAAUUGUAUAAUAAAAAACUCUAACAUUUGACUAAUCAAAAAUUAACUCCUUAAGGAAAUUUUUAGUAUCUCUGAUUUAACCCUUCAAGGCCCAGAACUUUUUGUACAGUUUUUAUUACCUAAAAAGUAGUUAACAUUGAAAAAACGGAUUUUUGGAAUGGUGUAACCAAACAUAUUCCAAUCUGAUCCUGCUAACAACCCAGCGUCUCCGUGUUGUUCCACGCAGCUUGUUGAACGGAAGCUGUAACGACCGCAAAAACACCUGCUCCAGAAGUUCGUAAACGUUGUCCCGUACUCCGGUGGCCAUCAAUCCAUGGGACAUAAACGGUGGCGCCGCACCCCGCCGUAUCUGCGGCUAGUCGAGGAGCAAUAGUCCUUCUUGAUCAAGAUGCUUCCCCGCACGCUGGCGUCGGCUCGAAAAGAUGGCUGACAAAAUCCGGACCCGGAAGACAACGCCAAAAAAAUCCGGCCAAGAUGCCGAGCGACGAGGAGAUCUGGAAGACCAACCGGAAGACGACACCAAGAUGUACGUGAAGAUCCGCGACACAACAAGUAUAAUGAAAUAAUUG